AUUGAACGCUGGCGGAAUGCUUUACACAUGCAAGUCGAGCGGCAGCGCGGGGCAACCUGGCGGCGAGCGGCGAACGGGUGAGUAAUACAUCGGAACGUACCCAGUUGUGGGGGAUAGCCCGGCGAAAGCCGGAUUAAUACCGCAUACGACCUGAGGGUGAAAGGGGGGNGUCGCAAGACCUCUCGCAGUUGGAGCGGCCGAUGGCGGAUUAGCUAGUUGGUAGGGUAAAGGCCUACCAAGGCGACGAUCCGUAGCUGGUCUGAGAGGACGACCAGCCACACUGGGACUGAGACACGGCCCAGACUCCUACGGGAGGCAGCAGUAGGGAAUAUUGGACAAUGGGGGGGAACCCGUGAUCCAGCCAUGCCGCGUGAGGGAAGAAGGUCCUCUGGAUUGUAAACCUCUUUUGGCAGGAAACAAACCUGCGCUAUACGCGCAGCUGAGGGUACCUGCAGAAUAAGCACCGGCUAACUCCGUG
rnacentral:rRNA from 1 species